CAAUCGCAUCGAGGCCGCGUAGUAAAUUCGAAUGGCAACUCCUCGCUUCACAUUCCGCGCUGAGUAACGAGGCUCCAAAUUUAAAUCAACGCAGCCUCACGCUGGCGACGAGCGCGAGGGGCGGAGCCUGCCCGGCGUGAGCUGGGGACGCGCGGUGUGAUUGCCCAGGAGAAAGGAAGGCGCUCCAGUUCCGGGUCAGGCCCUUUUCCCGCCUCCCUCGGCCUCCGCCAUGGCGAGUAGCAGCGGUGCCGGGGCGGCGGCGGCGGCGAAUCUGAACGCGGUGAGGGAGACCAUGGAUGUUCUGUUGGAAAUUUCAAGAAUUUUGAAUACUGGCUUAGAUAUGGAAACUCUGUCUAUUUGUGUACGUCUUUGUGAACAAGGAAUUAACCCAGAAGCUUUAUCGUCGGUUAUUAAGGAACUUCGCAAGGCCACUGAAGCACUAAAGCUGUCCUGUAUGAUGAUAUCUUAGGGUGACCGACGUGUCUCCUCACUGUAUGAACGUCUUGUACAGCAUGAGGACAUUGGAGACAGCUGGGAGAGAAAUGAGGGAUUCAAUAAGUCUUGUGUCCCCACCCAUACUCCCAAAGGAGGGAAUAAAUGUACACAGGAAAGGGAAGUGUGAAAGACAAGACUUGUUAAGGCUGCUGAAAAUGCGACAAGCUGACUUUCUGGAGAAACCCUGAUGAGAUAUGUCAGGCUCUUCAAGAGGAUUUGAAGAUUGCAUUGUAGUCAAGAAUGUACAAUGAAAUUACUGCAUGCAGCAGUGUAGAAACAUUUUCCUUUUUAAAAGAAUUAUAAAACCAUAGCUUUAUAAAUCAGUGGAAAAUGGCUUACAGAGAGAACUAUCAGAUGUGUUUACAUCACAUCUUACUUUUUUUUAACAGCUCUAAUGCUGGUUCAUAUUUAUGUAUUCCUUAUUUAUAGCUCUGAUAGCUUUAAUUUUCUAAGCAGUCUGUCUAUCAGAUGUGCACAUCUGCUGUGCCUGGUUGAAGUACAGUGGAGCCCAUCAGAAGUAAUGUAGUAGUUAUGACUUGUUGACAUUUCCAUUAUAAAAUUUAAUUUUGAAUUGUUUAUGCAAAAUAACCGUGGAUUCAUGUUGUACUGGGUUAAAAGUUGACAGAAUUUCAGCCACCUUAUUUAUGGAUUUGAUUUAGACUUAGGUAUAUCAGAUUCUUUCUUAUAAGAGCAUGGGAAUCAUUGUUUUCAUCUGCUCUUUAACAAAGAAUAUUUAGUUUUUUAAACAAAAGUUUUUCUGGCAGUUAAUAGUAUGAACCAGAUUGUUUUUGUAUUGACUGAAAAAUAAAACUUAGAAACUUAGAUUUUAAAAGUAAUGGCAGUGCUUAGUUUUAUUUGUCAUUUGGAUUAUUUACAUUUAAUGAGAAUAUUAAUUGAUAAUAUUUUUUUUCUAAGUUUUAUACUCUAAACAUGAUGGCCUAGAAAAAUAAAGCAUAGUGAAACAUUUCCAACAGGCAAAAUUCUUUAAUUUUAUUACAGAAAAAUAAUUUGAGUGGUUAUCUAAUAAAUCACUAAAGAGGAAGUAUCUUUCAACAAAUAUGAUAUUUUCUGAAGGAAUACAUAUUUGCAGUCAUUAAACAAAAAGUAAAUAAUCAAAUGUUCUAUAUCAGGAAUUGUAAGUAUCAACUUUCUAAGGUCACUUUUUUGUGUCAUUAUUUUUUCCCUGAAAGUUUUAAUGAAUCAAAGUGAUGGUUCAAAAUAAAUUUUGGGAAAUUUACAAUAGUGUUAAUUCUGCUCCUGUAACAGAAUCUCAAUGGAAUAUUUUCCCCAAGACUAAUAUUUUAAUCUGAUCUUAUUUUAGGUUUUGUUAGCAUUCUUUUAAAUGAUAGUACAAGCAUUUACUCUUUAGCAGCUUUUUUCUUCAGACAAAGUAAGGCUUAGUAGUAUCUAAGUGGCGACCUUCUGUACUGUUGUAAAAAUCUCAUCUUUUAAUUAUUUUGACUUUGAAAGUGGAUAACCUCUUUACCAAGGGCACUGGAAGGUCUAUUGGCAGAACCUGGUUGGGAGACAAUAACGACUUGUGAUGCUAAAUCAUUUAUUUGUUAAUAAACACUGCAUAUAUUGCAUGUUGUUACUUACAGAAUCAUAAAGAGAACACAUUUGUCAGGCUCCAAAAUUUGUAUAUACCCUUAGGCCACAAGAGUUAAUAGUUUUAUUUAUGAUUUUGUAGAUUAAGUUAUUUAUGUAUGAAACAAAGCAGGAAAAUAUAUUGAGUAUGUUUACAAAGAACUUUAAUGUGUUACACUUAAAUGUAAACAUAUAUUUUUAAUGCAUACUUAAGUACUAUUUAACGAAAUCAAAACAAAUUAUAAUGUUACAAUUGGCAGUGUUAUGCAUGUUGUCAGUGACAAAAAUAAAACCAUUUUGGUGGUAUUGGCAUGUA